rnacentral:rRNA from 1 species
AGUAGUUUGAUCCGUGGCUCAGGAUGAACGCUGGCGGCGUGCUUAACACAUGCAAGUCGAACGAUGAAAGCGGGAGCGUGCUCCUGCUGGAUUAGUGGCGAACGGGUGAGUAACACGUGAGUAACCUGCCCUUGACUCUGGGAUAAGCGUUGGAAACGACGUCUAAUACCGGAUACGACCUUCGGAGGCAUCUCCUGGGGGUGGAAAGAAUUUCGGUCAAGGAUGGACUCGCGGCCUAUCAGCUAGUUGGUGAGGUAAUGGCUCACCAAGGCGACGACGGGUAGCCGGCCUGAGAGGGUGACCGGCCACACUGGGACUGAGACACGGCCCAGACUCCUACGGGAGGCAGCAGUGGGAAUAUUGCACAAUGGGCGCAAGCCUGAUGCAGCAACGCCGCGUGAGGGACGACGGCCUUCGGGUUGUAAACCUCUUUUAGUAGGGAAGAAGCGAAAGUGACGGUACCUGCAGAAAAAGCACCGGCUAACUACGUG